UAUUAAUUAAGAAUCUAAGAAUUACACUUUGUAUAUGGGCACUUGAAGUGUAAGGAGAUAAUAGUGCAACCGGCUUAUUUUAAG
rnacentral:ncRNA from 2 species